rnacentral:rRNA from 1 species
CCUACGGGGGGCUGCAGUCGAGAAUAUUUCGCAAUGGACGAAAGUCUGACGGAGUGAUGUCGCGUGAUGGAUGAAGAGCUUCGGUUUGUAAACAUCUUUUAUGUGGGAAGAACUUUUGACGGUACCACAUGAAUAAGGGGUUGCUAAACUCGUGCCAGCAGCAGCGGUAAUACGAGUACCCCGAGCAUUAUCCGGAAUUAUUGGGCGUAAAGGGUGAGUAGGUGGGUGUAUUAGUCGGGUGUUAAAUCUUAGAGCUUAACUUUAAGACCGCACUCGAAACGGUAUAUCUAGAGUAUGUGAGAGGUGAGCGGAACUCAUAGUGUAGGGGUGAAAUCCGUUGAUAUUAUGGGGAACACCAAAAGCGAAGGCAGCUCACUGGCACAUUACUGACACUGAAUCACGAAAGCGUAGGUAGCGAAUGGGAUUAGAUACCCAUGUAGUC